CGAAAACCUUACCUACCCUUGACAUGUCCGGAAUCCCGAAGAGAUUUGGGAGUGCUCGCAAGAGAACCGGAACACAGGUGCUGCAUGGCUGUCGUCAGCUCGUGUCGUGAGAUGUUGGGUUAAGUCCCGCAACGAGCGCAACCCUUGUCCUUAGUUGCCACCAUUCAGUUGGGCACUCUAAGGAGACUGCCGGUGUUAAACCGGAGGAAGGUGGGGAUGACGUCAAGUCCUCAUGGCCCUUAUAUCCAGGGCUACACACGUGCUACAAUGGCCGGUACAAAGGGCAGCCACUUAGCGAUAAGGAGCCAAUCCCGUAAAGCCGGUCUCAGUCCGGAUUGGAGUCUGCAACUCGACUGCGUGAAGUUGGAAUCGCUAGUAAUCGUAGAUCAGCAUGCUACGGUGAAUACGUUCCCGGGCCUU
rnacentral:rRNA from 1 species